GUCCUAGCCGUAAACGGUGCAUGUUUGCUGUAAAAGGAAUCGACCCCUUUUGUGGCGUAGCCAACGCGUUAAACAUGCCGCCUGGGAAGUACGGUCGCAAGAUUAAAACUCAAAGAAAUUGACGGGGGCCUGCACAAGCGGUGGAGUAUGUGGCUCAAUUCGAUGCAACGCGAAGAACCUUACCUGGCCUUGACAUGUAUGUAGUAGAAGGGUGAAAGCCUGACGAGGUAGCAAUACCAGCAUACACAGGUGCUGCAUGGCUGUCGU
rnacentral:rRNA from 1 species